GACGAACGCUGGCGGCGUGCUUAACACAUGCAAGUCGAACGAAGAGCGAUGGAGGUUUGCUUUUUGCAGUCUUAGUGGAGCGGGUGUGAGACACGCGUAAUAAAUCUGCCUUUCAGUGGGGGAACACAGUGGGAAAGGACCGAUUAUAGCGCAUACGAUCUAAUCGCGGCGUCGAGGAGUGAUGGAAGGUGGCGUCUACACUUAUGCAUGCACUGGAGGAGGGGUUUGUGUCUGAUUAGGUAGCUGGUGGGGAAACGGACCACCCAGGCCAUGAUCAGUAGCCGGUCUGGAGGGGUGGACCGCCACAUUGGGACUGAGACACGGCCCAAGCUCCUACGGGAAGCAGCAGUGGGGAAUCUUCCGCAAUGGACGAAAGUCUGACGGAGCAACGCCGCGGGGAUGAAGACAGCCUUCGGGUUGUAAAACUCUUUUAAUCAGGACGAAAGGCCUUCUUGCGAAUAGUGAGAAGGAUUGACGGUACCGAAACAGAAAGCCACGGCUAACUACGUG
rnacentral:rRNA from 1 species